CAACCACAGCCAAGCAUUAAGUUGCAAGCGUUGGAGUGGCAGGCUUAACGUCC
rfam:Opium poppy mosaic virus isolate PHEL5235, complete genome.